UACGGAGGGUGCGAGCGUUGUCCGGAAUCACUGGGCGUAAAGGGCGCGUAGGCGGCCUGAUAAGUAGGGGGUGAAAUCCUGCGGCUUAACCGCAGGGCUGCCUUCUAAACUGUCAGGCUAGAGCACGGUAGAGGCAGAUGGAAUUCCCGGUGUAGCGGUGGAAUGCGUAGAGAUCGGGAAGAACAUCAGUGGCGAAGGCGGUCUGCUGGGCCGCUGCUGACGCUGAGGCGCGACAGCGUGGGGAGCAAACAGG
rnacentral:rRNA from 1 species